CCUACGGGUGGCAGCAGUGGGGAAUAUUGCACAAUGGGGGGAACCCUGAUGCAGCAAUGCCGCGUGGGGGAAGAAGCACUCCGGUGCGUAAAGCCCUGUCAGCAGGGAAGAAAAUGACAGUACCUGAUCAAGAAGCCCCGGCUAACUACGUGCCAGCAGCCGCGGUAAUACGUAGGGGGCGAGCGUUAUCCGGAGUUACUGGGUGUAAAGGGAGCGCAGGCGGUAUGGCAAGUCAGAUGUGAAAACCCAGGGCCCAACCCAGGGACUGCCUUUGAAACUGCCAUACUGGAGUGCCGGAGAGGUAAGUGGAAUUCCUGGUGUAGGAGUGAAAUGCGUAGAUAUUAGGAGGAACACCAGUGGCGAAGGCGACUUACUGGACGGUAACUGACGCUGAGGAGCGAAAGCGUGGGGAGCAAACAGGAUUAGAUACCCGAGUAGUC
rnacentral:rRNA from 1 species